rnacentral:rRNA from 1 species
GACGAACGCUGGCGGCAUGCCUAAUACAUGCAAGUCGAGCGAACAGAUGAAGUGCUUGCACUUCUGACGUUAGCGGCGAACGGGUGAGUAACCCGUAAGGAAUCUACCUAUAAGCGGGGGAUAACAUUCGGAAACGGGUGCUAAUACCGCAUAAUAUCUUCUUCCGCAUGGAAGAAGAUUGAAAGACGGCUCUGCUGUCACUUAUAGAUGACCUUGCGGUGCAUUAGUUAGUUGGUGGGGUAAUGGCCUACCAAGACGAUGAUGCAUAGCCGACCUGAAAGGGUGAUCGGCCACAUUGGGACUGAGACACGGCCCAAACUCCUACGGGAGGCAGCAGUAGGGAAUCUUCCGCAAUGGGCGAAAGCCUGACGGAGCAAUGCCGCGUGAGUGAAGAAGGCCUUCGGGUCGUAAAACUCUGUUAUAAGAGAAGAACAAAUUGUAGAGUAACUGCUACAGUCUUGACGGUAUCUUAUCAGAAAGCCACGGCUAACUACGUGCCAGCCGCCGCAGUAA